rnacentral:rRNA from 1 species
UGCAGUCGAACGAUGAACCACUUCGGUGGGGAUUAGUGGCGAACGGGUGAGUAACACGUGGGCAAUCUGCCCUGCACUCUGGGACAAGCCCUGGAAACGGGGUCUAAUACCGGAUACUGACCUUCACGGGCAUCUGUGAAGGUCGAAAGCUCCGGCGGUGCAGGAUGAGCCCGCGGCCUAUCAGCUUGUUGGUGAGGUAAUGGCUCACCAAGGCGACGACGGGUAGCCGGCCUGAGAGGGCGACCGGCCACACUGGGACUGAGACACGGCCCAGACUCCUACGGGAGGCAGCAGUGGGGAAUAUUGCACAAUGGGCGAAAGCCUGAUGCAGCGACGCCGCGUGAGGGAUGACGGCCUUCGGGUUGUAAACCUCUUUCAGCAGGGAAGAAGCGAAAGUGACGGUACCUGCAGAAGAAGCGCCGGCUAACUACGUGCCAGCAGCCGCGGUAAUACGUAGGGCGCAAGCGUUGUCCGGAAUUAUUGGGCGUAAAGAGCUCGUAGGCGGCUUGUCACGUCGGUUGUGAAAGCCCGGGGCUUAACCCCGGGUCUGCAGUCGAUACGGGCAGGCUAGAGUUCGGUAGGGGAGAUCGGAAUUCCUGGUGUAGCGGUGAAAUGCGCAGAUAUCAGGAGGAACACCGGUGGCGAAGGCGGAUCUCUGGGCCGAUACUGACGCUGAGGAGCGAAAGCGUG